rnacentral:rRNA from 1 species
UUGGGGUUGCGGACAUAUCAUAACGAAGAGGUAUCGUAAUUGAAGAGGUUUGGAAAGACCCACCACAGAAGGUAAUAGUCCUGUAUGUUAAACGAGAAGACUUUAGAUAUGAUCCAGAGUACCACGGGACACGUGAAACCCUGUGGGAAGCAGGAGGGACCACCCUCCAAGGCUAAAUACUACCUAGUGACCGAUAGCGUAUAGUACCGUGAGGGAAAGGUGAAAAGAACCCCGGGAGGGGAGUGAAAUAGAACCUGAAACCCUGCACUUACAAGCUGUGGAAGCACAUUUCUUGUGUGACCGCGUACUUUUUGUAGAACGGGCCAACGAGUUACGUUAAGUAGCAAGGUUAAGCACUUAAGGGGCGGAGCCGUAGCGAAAGCGAGUUUUAACUGAGCGUUCAGUUACUUGACGUAGACCCGAAACCGGGCGACCUACCCAUGAGCAGGAUGAAGCGAAAGUAAAAUUUCGUGGAGGUCCAAAUCCACGAGCG